rnacentral:rRNA from 1 species
AAUCAACGCUGGCGGCGUGCCUCAGACAUGCAAGUCGAACGAUUAAACUUCCCUUCGGGGACGAUAUACAGUGGCGCACGGGUGAGUAACACGUAGGUAAUGUACCUUUGGGUGGGGAAUAACUUAGGGAAACUUAAGCUAAUACCGCAUAAUGCAGCGGCUCCUUCGGGAGACAGUUGUUAAAGAUUUAUCGCCUAAAGAGCAGCCUGCGGCAGAUUAGCUAGUUGGUAAGGUAACGGCUUACCAAGGCUACGAUCUGUAUCCGACCUGAGAGGGUGGUCGGACACACUGACACUGAAUAACGGGUCAGACUCCUACGGGAGGCAGCAGUCGGGAAUUUUGGGCAAUGGGCGAAAGCCUGACCCAGCAACGCCGCGUGAAGGAUGAAGUCUUUCGGGAUGUAAACUUCGUAAGAAUAGGAAGAAUAAAUGACGGUACUAUUUGUAAGGUCCGGCUAACUACGUG